UCAUCGUAGUUUUUUCCUUAGAGUAUUCCAUCCAAAGUUUAUCAAUCCAUGUAUCGGCAGCGAACUAAUUAGGAUUUUUCCAUCUAAUGUAACGGAUCUAAUUCUAACAUGAAUCAUAGAUUGCAUAGGAAGAAGGUAACCUUGGUGUAAAGGUAAAUCACGAGAACAUGUAGAUCACAUCUACAGAUACCUAGUUGUAGUUCUACCUAACGAGCAAG
rnacentral:lncRNA from 1 species